rnacentral:misc_RNA from 1 species
AAGUCGUAACAAGGUUUCCGUAGGUGAACCUGCGGAAGGAUCAUUAACACUAAUGAAAUCCAAAACCUUUUGGAUCAACCCAACCUUAGCGAACCGUUCGUUUUUUCCCUUUGCCAUUUUUUUUAAACGCAAACAAAUCUGAUGUAAAGUGUCUGAUUCUUAUUCCUGUCUUUCCUCAUUUAUGAGGGUAAGCUGGAAUCAAAAUCUAACGCAAUACAACUCUUAACAACGGAUAUCUUGGCUCUC